rnacentral:misc_RNA from 1 species
GAUGAAGAACGUAGCGAAAUGCGAUAAGUAGUGUGAAUUGCAGAAUUCAGUGAAUCAUCGAAUCUUUGAACGCACAUUGCGCCCCUUGGUAUUCCAUGGGGCAUGCCUGUUCGAGCGUCAUUUGUACCUUCAAGCUUUGCUUGGUGUUGGGUGUUUGUCCUGAGGGACUCGCCUUAAAGUAAUUGGCAGCCAGUGUUUGGUUUUGAAGCGCAGCACAAGUCGCGAUUCAAGGCUACACGCCCGCUUCCACAAGCCUUUUUUCACUUUUGACCUCGGAUCAGGUAGGGAUACCCGCUGAACUUAAGCAUAUCAAUAAGCGGAGGA